rnacentral:tRNA from 1 species
GGGUCUGUGGCUCAGUGGUAGAGCGCUCACCUAGCAUGUGUGAGGCCCUGGGUUCCAUCCUCAGCACCA